rnacentral:rRNA from 1 species
GACGAACGCUGGCGGCGUGCUUAACACAUGCAAGUCGAACGGAAAGGCCCUGCUUUUGUGGGGUGCUCGAUUGGCGAACGGGUGAGUAACACGUGAGUAACCUGCCCUUGACUUUGGGAUAACUUCAGGAAACUGGGGCUAAUACCGGAUAGGAGCUCCUGCUGCAUGGUGGGGGUUGGAAAGUUUCGGCGUUUGGGGAUGGACUCGCGGCUUAUCAGCUUGUUGGUGGGGUAGUGGCUUACCAAGGCUUUGACGGGUAGCCGGCCUGGGAGGGUUGACGGCCACAUUGGGACUGAGAUACGGCCCAGACUCCUACGGGAGGCAGCAGUGGGGAAUCUUGCACAAUGGGCGGAAGCCUGAUGCAGAAACGCCGCGUGCGGGAUGACGGCCUUCGGGUUGUAAACCGCAUUCGCCUGUGACGAAGCGUGAGUGACGGUAAUGGGUAAAGAAGCACCGGCUAACUACGUG